AAGUCGUAACAAGGUUUCCGUAGGUGAACCUGCGGAAGGAUCAUUAGUGAAUAAACUGUCAAAGUCUCUGUUUCGGCAAGGCUUUGGCCUCACAUCCAUAACACCUGUGAACUGUAAGACGAUUAGUGUUUCGGCACGUCGUCUGCCCUUUAUAAACAAUUAAUGUAACAAAUGUAGUCUUAUUAUAAUCAAUAAAA
rnacentral:misc_RNA from 1 species